AAUCACUGCAAACCUCAGAAGAAGGGAGAUUAGAAUGAACCUGUAAAAUCAGUAGCCGUUACAGCCCACUUGGGAAGUUAACCAACAUUACCAGGCAGUGAAGACAGUGCUGGUGGGGGGUAAAAUCAGGAAGCCGCAAUUGAGGUUCAGGGAAGGAAAACCAUUCUCAGCUGAGGUCGUUAGGAAUGCCUUCAAAGGACAGGUAGGAUUUGAGCUGGGCAUUGGGAGACCUAAAGUUUAAAAACGGAUGAAGAAGAAAAUACCGUACUUUGAUUCCUGGUCAUUUUCUAAGGCUCAAGGAAGCUAGCAGCCCAGGGGGAUGUAAAGGAUCGUGUUGGUUUUCUUCCCUUUGCCACUGGUUCAGGAUGAGAAGUGUUUUUCUUCGAGCAUCGAGUCCUUCCAGAGACUGACAGAAAGGGGGAGAAUUUGGAUACGAGGACAAAAAUCUCCAGCACAGGCACUCACAUGUAAAGCAGGAGGAAAACGCCAUGCUUCUCCCCAACCUGAGGAACAGCUGAAAAAAAAGUCUAGGAAGAACUCAAAAAGGUACAAGAAAAUCAUGGUCCAAAUAGAGGCAAAAUAAAAUGAAUCGUAAUUUUGAGUAACUGCAGGGAUGUAAUAAAAGAAAAUCAAUUCGGCUGUGCUCCUGGGAACAUACUCCUUUGAGUCAACCAAAAGGUGAUGACACUGAAUGCAAGAGGAAGAAGUGUGAUCCUAACGCAGUCCUUGGCUCUCCAGGGAACAAUAUUUACCCGCUCACAAUAAUGUUAAUGCAGUUCAUUGGCUUCGAACUAGCAGAAUUAACCCAUAGACCAAGCACAGAGGACUCAUCAUGGUUGCAGAACAGAAUGUAAUGUUACCAAUCAGAACAAUGGAAAAACAAAGAUCAAGCUGGAAGAAGUUGAAAGGGGAAAGUGGGGGAGCUGGUAUCUCCAUCUCAUACUGUGUGGAGUUAAGAAAUAUUGUUGAAAGUUCAUGGAAUGAGGCCAAAUGUGGUGGAUUAUGCCUGAAAUCCCAGCACUUUGGGAGGCUGGGGCAGGAAGACCACUUGAGGCCAAGAGUCUGAGACCAGCCUGGGUAACAUAGCAAGAUCAUAUCUCUCCAAAAAGAAAAAAUUAAAAAUUAGCCAGGUGUGUUGACACGUGCCUGUAAUCCCAGCUACUUGGGAGGCUGAGGCAGGAGCAUUGCUGGUGCCCAGGAGUUCAAGGCUGCCGUGAUCCGUGUUCACACCACUGCACUCCAGCCUGGGUGACAGAAUGAGGUCCUGUCUCAAAAUAAAUAAAUAAG